rnacentral:pre_miRNA from 1 species
UACAUACUCCCUCCGUCCCAUAAUUCUUGUCUUAGAUUAGUCUAGAUACGGAUGUAUCUAAUACUAAAACAUGACUUGAUACAUCUGUAUUUAGACAAAUCUAAGACAAGAAUUUUGGGAUGGAGGGAGUACAAA